UCUUUAGAUUUUCAAAUUAUAGUUGUUUCUCCCGAUUGUAAGGAAAUUAUUUGUAAUCAAGAUUUUCAAUUAAUAAAUUCAGGUCGUCGUUGGAUUACUAGUGGCCGGAGCCACCGUAGAUGGAGGCAAAGGAAGAUAUCUUCAUUAUCUAGAAAGUGUUUUACCCAAGUUUAGAACUUGGGGUCUUUUUUUUUUUUUUUUUUUUUGUAUUUAUAAGAAAAGAAUAUAAAAUUCGGUGUUUCUUGCUUUUGUAGAGUGAAAUCCCCAGACUGAAAAGUGCUUUUGAAGAUGAAAUCCCUGGAAGUACAUAUAUUUUAAGAUAUAAUUGCAAAUAAAUGUUCUUGAUGUUCUUGUUUAUGAAGAUGAUAGAAGAUUGGUGUGUUCUUGUUUUUGGUUUACUUUACUAAAGAUUUAAAUAAAAACAUGAAUUGACCAAAAUACCCUUAAGUGAAUAAACUUAACUAAAUUUUUUAACCUGGUUAGUACUAAAGGACGUAGAGUGUAACGGGUUUUGCAAAUAAAGGACUGUGACAGUAAUUAUUGAAGUUAAAGGCUAUCCGUUGCAAUCCCGUACAAACAUAAAGGACGAAAAGUGUAAUUUACCCUUUUUUUCGGUUUUGUUGAUCGUUGGUGCUACUUGGCACUGUUCUACCCGGGGGACUAAAAGGUUAAAAAAAACAAUAAUGGGAAAGAAUUCUUACAAGAAUUUGAUUUUCACGCUUCAGCUGAAGUUCCAAUGCUUCUUCAAGUACGGCGAGAGUAUACUUGAUGUUUGGGCGGUGUGCUGGCUCGUCAUUUAUGCAAGAAUAUGCUGCUCCGGCGUAUCCGUACCAUGAUGAUCGGGAUACCAUUUGAUUAUGGAGAUAAAGAGGGAUUAUAUCCAAUAGUUUAUGGUUUUCUAUAAGAUCUUUGACCAAUGGAGCCAGAAGGCUGUUGAUAUGUUUCGGAAUAAAGGCUUCUCUCCCGCAUAACAUUUCACAUAGAACGACGCCAAAGGAGUAGAUAUCGGACGUGUGGGACGCACCUCUAAUCUUCUCAAUAGCAGGGUCCACAUACCCAGCUAUUCCAAUGGGUUCACAAAGGACGACCUGGUCUAUUUGGCUAUCCGAUUGUUUGAUGGAAAAUGUAAAACCGGAUAACUUGGCUUCCCAGUUGUGG